UAGACUGAACUUCAGCGUCUGUGAUGGC
rnacentral:sRNA from 1 species